UACUUAGCUUACGUUUCCAAUCAGAAAUGUUCAUUUAGACAUGGCUACAAAAGAUAUUUGUGACAUUUGUAUGAAUAUAGAUACAGAAACCUCUAGUAAUGAAAUUGAAAAAUAUGAAAUAGAAUGUAUGAAUCGAAUUGGUGGAAAGUUUGUGUAUAAUGAGCCACCUGUUACUGUCAAGUUUCUUGAUAAAAGACGUAAAUUUCAGUAGUGUUAAAAAUCAGAUUGCGAAACUUGAAAAGCAGUUGAAAGAAUGGGUCGACGAACAGAGCCUGAAAUGUCUGCAUUUCGCAUUGAAAAAUCUUCUAUCCUUUUAGAAUUUGAUGAAAGAGAAGAAAUUUUAAAAAAAAAAGAUGAUUUUAUUAUAUUGGUAAUCUUACCAUUUGUUCAAAUUAUCCAUUAUUAUGCAUUUAUAAAAUUAUUUGGUAUUUGAAUAACAUUACACCUAAAAAUGUAACUUAUAAAAACUAUGAUUUAUUAUUAAAUUUUUAUAUCAUAAUUCUUAUUAAUUUUAAUAAUAUAAAAUAAAAUCCUUAUUUUUAUAUAUUUUAUAUAUACAUUCGAAACGUAACCCUAUUGUACAAAUAUGUAAAAGAAUAAAUGAAAUGAACAAUGUUAUGAAAUUAUCUCAAACAGUUUCUAAUAAAAUAAAAGCUAAUGUAAAAGAUGGUUGUUUUUUAACUAAUCAUGGUGUGGUUUUAGUCCAAGAAUAUUUAGGUGGAGGAAAAUUUAGUUGUGAUUAUUACAGAAAAAAAGAUUUAGAUAAUUACUUUAAUAUUUUUUUAAAUUCAAAAUCCAUUGAUGUUUAUUUUCUGAGAAAUUAUUUAAAGAGUGUUGUUUGUAUUAAAGAUAUUGCCACUUUACAGAUUAAGUGUGCAUGUUUACCUGUAAAUAAUGGAUUUGUUAUUUUACGAUUACUUCAUAAUAAAUGUUAAAUAUUCAGAAUCAAAUUGUGUUUUAUUUUAAGUUAUUUUACUAU